ACAAUAACUACUCGUUUGUUUAUGAUAAAAUCGGAACGAUACAAAGAAGAUUAGCGUGACUGUUUUACAAACAUGAUACAUACAACAACAACCACGAUUAUGAUUUUU
rnacentral:snRNA from 1 species